rnacentral:misc_RNA from 1 species
UUUCCAUAGGUGAACCUGCGGAAGGAUCAUUAUUGGAUUUUGAAACUUCAGGCUGCUGCUGGCUCUCCUCGGAGGGCAUGUGCACGCUCGUUGUCCAUUAUUUCUCCCACUGUGCACAAAUUGUAGACCUUUCAGUAGGCCUAUGUUGUUUUUCACAAUCUCUGAAUGUAAUAGAAUGGUUUUGAAUCUUGGGAAAUACAAUACAACUUUCAGCAACGGAUCUCUUGGCUCUC